GCUCGCUUGGUUCAAUGGUUAGAAUCUCCGCUUCCCAAGCACAACCGCGCUGUUUCUAGCGGAGGAUCCGAGUUCGAUUCUCGGGGCGAGCA
rnacentral:tRNA from 1 species